UUAGUAACGGCGAGCGAACAGGGAAAAGCCCAGCACUGAAUCGCGCGGCCCGCUGGGACGCUGCGAAAUGUAGUGUUUGGGAGGGUCCGUCAUUCCGUGGAUCGGCAUUGCGUCCAAGUCCUUCUUGAAGGGGGCCAUUUACCCUGAGAGGGUGCCAGGCCCGUAGCGACCAUUGCCGUUUGCGGAAGGAUCUCUCCUUAGAGUCGGGUUGCUUGAGAGUGCAGCCCUAAGUGGGUGGUAAACUCCAUCUAAGGCUAAAUAUAACCACGAGACCGAUAGCGAACAAGUACCGUGAGGGAAAGUUGAAAAGAACUUUGAAGAGAGAGUUCAAUAGUACGUGAAACCGUUUAAGGGUAAACCUGAGAAACCCGAAAGUUCGAACGGGGAGAUUCAGCGUGUCCCGCGCAGGAUUGCGAGUGCCGCUUGGUAGACUUUCGUCGUUCGCGGCGAUCGCUCCUUGCGUGCGCCGUAGCCUGUCGAGCGCGUGCACUUCUCCUCCAGUAGGACGCCGCGACCCGUUGGGUGUCGGUCUGAGGCUUGCAGGGCAGCCCGUAUGUCGGCUUCGGUCGAUGUGCGGACCUGCGAUGUCCCGUCCGACUGCUCGACGGUAGCACAAAGGCGCAGAGCCGCGACUAGCUCGCGUUCGGCCCGAUGCAAGCGCGGCCGGUUACUCGAUCAUCGGACUUAGUGCCGAUCUCGGGGCCGGUCGACUGUUGGUGUCGGUGUUCCCGGACAGACUCUGUUCACGCCUGUCAGCGGCGCUAUAGCUUUGGGUACUUUCAGGACCCGUCUUGAAACACGGACCAAGGAGUCUAGCAUGUGCGCGAGUCAUUGGGACUAUCGAAUCCUAAAGGCGAAAUGAAAGUGAACGCUGAGCUUGCUCGGCUUAGGGAAGACCGGUGGCCUUGCGUCGCCGUGCACUCCCGGGACGUCUCGUUCUCAUUGCGAGUUGAGGCGUACCUAGAGCGUACAUGCUGGGACCCGAAAGAUGGUGAACUAUGCCUGGUCAGGAC
rnacentral:rRNA from 1 species